UAUGACAGUUAGUUUGCUUGAAACUUCGCUUCGGAAGUCCAACCGGCGAAUUCCAGAUUCGUGCUGCGAAGUCAAUAAUCCUGGUAUCAAGUGAAUCGAGGUUGGAGUGAAAAUGACCAAGUCCUGGUUGAUCAAACAACUGCAAGAAAAAAAUAUAAACUUCUAACUGGGAAGGCUACUGGCUCGGUCAAACUACAUCCUCCAUGACUGUCAUCAAUCCCCCAUCAAUGAUUUAUAGCAUCCGGGGAUCCAUUCCUGAGCAGCGAAAAAUUCAACACAGAUAUUAUAUUUUUACUUGUUAUCAUGUAUAAUUCAUAUAGUUAUCUAAGAGAUCCUGAAUAAAUGUUAUGCUCUUUGUAUA